UUCCAGACUCCUACGGGAGGCAGCAGUGAGGAAUAUUGGUCAAUGGACGCAAGUCUGAACCAGCCAAGUAGCGUGCAGGAUGACGGCCCUCCGGGUUGUAAACUGCUUUUAGUUGGGAAUAAAAGGGGGCUCGUGAGCCCCGUAUUGUAUGUACCAUCAGAAAAAGGACCGGCUAAUUCCGUGCCAGCAGCCGCGGUAAUACGGAGGAUGCGAGCGUUAUCCGGAUUUAUUGGGUUUAAAGGGUGCGUAGGCGGAACAUUAAGUCAGCGGUAAAAUCGAGGGGCUCAACCCCUUUAAGCCGUUGAAACUGGUGAUCUUGAGUGGGCGAGAAGUAUGCGGAAUGCGUGGUGUAGCGGUGAAAUGCAUAGAUAUCACGCAGAACUCCGAUUGCGAAGGCAGCAUACCGGCGCCCGACUGACGCUGAGGCACGAAAGCGUGGGGAUCGAACAGGAUUAGAUACCCCAGUA
rnacentral:rRNA from 1 species